GCUCCCGUGGGGUAGGUGGACAUCCUCGAGGUCUCCGGAACCUCAGACCCGGGUUCGAAUCCCGGCGGGAGCG
rfam:Archaeoglobus sulfaticallidus PM70-1, complete genome.